rnacentral:rRNA from 1 species
AGUCAAUAGAUACCCUGGUAGUCCCAGCUGUAAACGAUGCGCGUUAGGUGUAUCGGUGACCACGAGUCAUCGAGGUGCCGAAGAGAAAUCGUGAAACGUGCCGCCUGGGAAGUACGGUCGCAAGGCUGAAACUUAAAGGAAUUGGCGGGGGAGCACCACAACAGGUGGAGCCUGCGGUUUAAUCGGACUCAACGCCGGAAAUCUCACCGGAUAAGACAGCUGUAUGAUAGUCGGGCUGAAGACUCUACUUGACUAGCUGAGAGGAGGUGCAUGGCCGUCGUCAGUUCGUACUGUGAAGCAUCCUGUUAAGUCAGGCAACGAGCGAGACCCACGCCAACAGUUGCCAGCUCGUCCUCCGGGAUGGUGGGGACACUGUUGGGACCGCCUCUGCUAAAGAGUAGGAAGGAAUGGGCAACGGUAGGUCAGCAUGCCCCGAAUUAUCCGGGCUACACGCGGGCUACAAUGGGUGGGACAAUGGUAUCGACACCGAAAGGUGAAGGCAAUCUCCUAAACCCGAU